UACGGAGGGUGCAAACGUUGCUCGGAAUCAUUGGGCGUAAAGCGCACGUAGGUGGUUUCGCAAGUCGGGUGUGAAAGCCCUCGGCUUAACCGAGGAAGUGCAUUCGAAACUACGAGACUUGAAUACUGAAGAGGAUCGCGGAAUUCCAGGUGUAGCGGUGAAAUGCGUAGAUAUCUGGAGGAACACCGGUGGCGAAGGCGGCAUCCUGGACCGAUAUUGACGCUGAUGCGCGAAAGCCAGGGGAGCAAACGGG
rnacentral:rRNA from 1 species